UAGUCCACGCCCUAAACGAUGAGUGCUAAACGUUGGAUUUUUAAUUCAGUGUUGCAGCUAACGCGUUAAGCACUCCGCCUGGGGAGUACGGUCGCAAGACUAAAACUUAAAGGAAUUGACGGGGACCCGCACAAGCGGUGGAUCAUGUGGUUUAAUACGAUGAUACGCGAGGAACCUUACCUGGGCUUAAAUGCAUAAUGACUGACUGGGAAACCAGUCGUUCUUCGGACAGAAUGCAAGGUGCUGCAUGGCUGUCGUCAGCUCGUGCUGUGAGGUGUCGGGUUAAGUCCCAUAACGAGCGCAACCCCUAUUUCUAGUUGCCAGCACAUAAUGGUGGGGACUCUAGAAAAACUGCCCGCGCAAGCGGUGAGGAAGGUGGGGACGACGUCAAGUCAUCACGGCCCUUACGUCCAGGGCUACACACGUGCUACAAUGGUAGAGACAGAGGGCAGCCACUUGGUGACAAGGAGCUAAUCCUUAAAACUCUAUCUCAGUUCGGAUUGAAGUCUG
rnacentral:rRNA from 1 species